rnacentral:rRNA from 1 species
UCAAGUUAUUAAGGGUGCAGGGCGGAUGCCUUGGCACUAGGAGCCGAUGAAGGACGUGAUAAGCUGCGAUAAGCUUCGGGGAGUUGCACGUAAACUUUGAUCCGAAGAUUUCCGAAUGAGGAAACUCACUUAGAGUAAUGUCUAAGUAUCAUUAAGUGAAUACAUAGCUUAAUGGGGGGAACUCAGGGAACUGAAACAUCUAAGUACCUGAAGGAAGAGAAAGAAAUUCGAUUCCGUAAGUAGCGGCGAGCGAACGCGGAUUAGCCCAAACCAAUAAAGUUUUCUUUAUUGGGGUUGCGGACAUAUCAUAACGAAGAGGUAUCGUAAUUGAAGAGGUUUGGAAAGACCCACCACAGAAGGUAAUAGUCCUGUAUGUUAAACGAGAAGACUUUAGAUAUGAUCCAGAGUACCACGGGACACGUGAAACCCUGUGGGAAGCAGGAGGGACCACCCUCCAAGGCUAAAUACUACCUAGUGACCGAUAGCGUAUAGUACCGUGAGGGAAAGGUGAAAAGAACCCCGGGAGGGGAGUGAAAUAGAACCUGAAACCCUGCACUUACAAGCUGUGGAAGCACAUUUCUUGUGUGACCGCGUACUUUUUGUAGAACGGGCCAACGAGUUACGUUAAGUAGCAAGGUUAAGCACUUAAGGUGUGGAGCCGUAGCGAAAGCGAGUUUUAACUGAGCGUUCAGUUACUUGACGUAGACCCGAAACCGGGCGACCUACCCAUGAGCAGGAUGAAGCGAAAGUAAAAUUUCGUGGAGGUCCGAACCCACGAGCGUUGAAAAGCUCGGGGAUGACUUGUGGGUAGCGGUGAAAUUCCAAUCGAGCCCGGAGAUAGCUGGUUCUCCCCGAAAUAGCUUUAGGGCUAGCCUCAAGGUGAGAGAUACGGAGGUAGAGCACUGAAUGUCCUAGGGGGUAUUGCACCUACCGAAGACUAUCAAACUCCGAAUGCCGUCAUCUUAUACUUGGGAGUCAGACUGUGGGUGAUAAGAUUCAUAGUCGAAAGGGCAACAGCCCAGAUCGUCAGCUAAGGUCCCUAAAUGUAAGUUAAGUGGUAAAGGAUGUGGGAUUGCACAGACAACCAGGAUGUUGGCUUAGAAGCAGCCACUCAUUCAAAGAGUGCGUAAUAGCUCACUGGUCGAGUGAUCCUGCGCCGAAGAUUUCCGGGGCUAAAACUUACUACCGAAGCUACGGCAUCAGUAAUGAUGGGUAGGGGAGCUUCCCAUACGGGUUGAAGCAUGACCGUAAGGACAUGUGGACAGUAUGGGAGUGAGAAUGUUGGCAUGAGUAGCGAGAUGUGGGUGAGAAUCCCACAGGCCGUAAACCCAAGGUUUCCAGGGGAAGGUUCGUCCACCCUGGGUUAGUCGGGACCUAAGCUGAGGCCGAAAGGCGUAGGUGAUGGACAACAGGUUGAUAUUCCUGUACUACCGAUAACCGUUUGAGAGAAGGGAUGACACAGUAGGAUAAGCUAAGCACACUGUUGGUUAUGUGUGCCCAAGCAUUGAGGCAGUCAAAGUAGGCAAAUCCGCUUUGAUAAUGCUGGGAUGUGAUGGGGAGCGAAAUUUAGUAGCGAAGUAGCUGAUUUCACACUGUCAAGAAAAGUCUCUAUCGAGGUUAAAGGUACCCGUACCGCAAACCGACACAGGUGGGUGAGGAGAGUAUCCUAAGGCCAGCGAGAGAACUGUUGUUAAGGAACUCGGCAAAAUGACCCCGUAACUUAGGGAUAAGGGGUGCCACCAUCAGGUGGCCGCAGAGAAUAGGCCCAAGCGACUGUUUACCAAAAACAUAGGUUUCUGCUAAGUCGCAAGACGAUGUAUAGGAGCUGACGCCUGCCCGGUGCUGGAAGGUUAAGGGGAUCUGUUAGAGCAAUCGAAGCAGUGAACUUAAGCCCCAGUAAACGGCGGCCGUAACUAUAACGGUCCUAAGGUAGCGAAAUUCCUUGUCGGGUAAGUUCCGACCCGCACGAAAGGCGUAACGAUUUGGGCACUGUCUCAACAACAGACUCGGUGAAAUUGUAAUUCCGGUGAAGAUGCCGGAUACCUGCGACAGGACGGAAAGACCCCAUGGAGCUUUACUGUAGCUUGACAUUGGGUCUUGGUACUACAUGUACAGGAUAGGUGGGAGGCUUUGAAACCAGGACGCCAGUUUUGGCGGAGCCAUCCUUGGGAUACCACCCUUGUAGUACUGGGACUCUAACCAUAGGCCAUGAAUCUGGUCUUGGGACACUGUCAGGUGGGCAGUUUGACUGGGGCGGUCGCCUCCCAAAAGGUAACGGAGGCGCUCAAAGGUUCUCUCAGUACGGUCGGAAAUCGUACGUAGAGUGUAAAGGCAAAAGAGAGCUUGAUUGCAAGACAUACAGGUCGAGCAAGGAUGAAAAUCGGACUUAGUGAUCCGGUGGUUCUGCGUGGAAGGGCCAUCGCUCAACGGAUAAAAGCUACCCUGGGGAUAACAGGCUUAUCUCCCCCAAGAGUCCACAUCGACGGGGAGGUUUGGCACCUCGAUGUCGGCUCAUCACAUCCUGGGGCUGUAGUAGGUCCCAAGGGUUGGGCUGUUCGCCCAUUAAAGUGGUACGCGAGCUGGGUUCAGAACGUCGUGAGACAGUUCGGUCCCUAUCCGUCGCAGGCGUAGGAAAUUUGAGAAGACCUGUCCUUAGUACGAGAGGACCGGGAUGGACGUACCUCUGGUGUACCAGUUGUCCUGCCAAGGGCAUGGCUGGGUAGCUAUGUACGGAAUGGAUAAGCGCUGAAAGCAUCUAAGCGCGAAGCCAACUUCAAGAUAAGAUUUCCCACCGCAAGGGUAAGACCCCAGAAAGACUAUCUGGUUGAUAGGUCGAAGGUGUAAGUGCAGCAAUGUAUUUAGCUUAUCGAUACUAAUAGGUCGAGGACUUGACCAA